GGCGAAAUCAUCCAAACAAUAUUUUGUUAAAUUAAUUUUCCUUGUCAUCGUAUUGUCGGCGCACCUGCGAACUGAAUUACGAGAUGUCAAUUUACCAUAAACCUGCACCAAAUUAAUCCCGAUGGUUAAAGAUAUCCUCCAAGGCCAAUGUACAUAAUUUGAAUUUACUCUCGUAAACUGGCCGCCUAUAUUUACGCCUAUAGGUAUAGGUACGUCAUAUAACUCUUACUCUUCAAUACGGGGCCAAAACUACCGUUAGAGAUGUUCGGGUUGUUUGAUUUCUAUACAUAUAUGUAAGUAGGUACGAGUAGCAUUACUUUUCUUUUUAAUCCAUCGAAAUGUUACGUAACUUAAUCAGAUACUCGUAGAGUCGGAUCGCACGUCGGUCGUGGCUUGCGCCUACCAAACAAGCUUUGAGAGAUGAGGGAAUCCCUUGUAACUAUAUUAUUCGAAGUCACGUUCUGUCGAGUACCCAAGCUUUGUACUGACGUUUUAAUCACACAUCGCAGUUAAGAUCCUUCGGCAGACCCGAGAUAUUUUCUCUCAUGGAUGUUCAUUACUUACAAUAAAUAGCCGAAUCCUCCUCUAAUUGUCAGCAAAGUGACGAAUGGGGCCAUAUUACAAUAUAGGUGUGUAAACUACACGUCAUUCAAAACUACCUAAAGUAGAACUAAGAUAUUAUCAAUUUAUUUUACACAAUUAUUGUUAUAUUUUAAAUCCGUCCUAUACAUGUUCAAUAACAUAAAAAGUUUUGAAACGAAUAAGCAAUAGGUACUUAGCUGAAUGUUUACUUAUCUGUGGAACAAAAGUUUUUCUAAUAAGCGACAGUAAGUUGGGGCUGAAACUUCGUCAAGUUGGCCUUGCCGUGGUCGUCGCGUCAAAACUCAAUAAGUUCGAGCCAAGUGGUGCCAUCGUGCGGGUUUCAUGAUACGAGACUUGCCAGUCUGGCGCAAACUACGUGGUCUUGUAGAAGAUACCUACGAAGUUUGGGUUUAAAACGUGUUAUUCUAUUUAUUACAUUGUUAUCUAAAGUUGUACUUAAUGGUGCAUCACAAUACAACCAACGGGAAUUCGUUUGUU